AGCGAACGCUGGCGGCAGGCUUAACACAUGCAAGUCGAGCGGGCACUCUCGGGUGUCAGCGGCUGACGGGUGGGUAACGGGGGGGAACGUGCCCUCUGAUUCGGAAUAACUCAGGGAAACUUGAGCUAAUAACGGAUACGCACUUUGGGGAGAAGGCUUGCUGGCGGGGGAUCGGCCCGCGUCUGAUUAGCUAGGUGGUGGGGGAAGCGCUCACCAAGGCGACGAUCAGUAGCUGGUCUGAGCGGAUGAUCCGCCACACCUGGGCUGAGGCGCGGCCCCGAAUCGUACGGGAGGGAGCAGUGUGGAAUAUUAGACGAGGGGCGCAAGUCUGAUACAGCCAUGCCGGGUGAGUGGUGAAGGCCUUAGGGUUGUAAAGCUGUUUUAUCCGGGGCGAUAAUGACGGUACCGGAGGAAUAAGCCCCGGCUAACUUCGUG
rnacentral:rRNA from 1 species